GCCCCUCUCACUCCCACCAAACAGACAGCUGUCACAUUCAUUGGCUGAUGCCGACCUUGAAAACCCUAAAUGACAUUGGCCCUGUAUAUUUAAAGAAGCGUCUCCACACCCAUCGUCCAGACCAGAUACUUAGGACCAGCUCCAAGGGCCUUCUGGUGGUUCCCUCAAGCAUUAAUACACUCAAGUGAGAUUCCGUUUUUCAGCUGCUGUUUUUAAUACUAGAAGCAGAAUUUCAAGUUACACUAAGUUACUAUGUAGGCUUAGGUUAUGAACUCAGGAAGAAAGGAAGUUGGGUCAUGUCAAAGUACAAACUGGAUAUGGUAGAGAAAGAUAAUUAUGUAUGAAGAGGGAGGCUGCACUUCGUGUAUCUCUACAGGUAGGGUUAUUCCUAAAAGUUGUAUGUCCAGAAACACUCCAGGGAUGUGAUUCAAUGAUUCCCUUUCAUCAUUAAAGAUGAAUGAAAAAUGAAGAGCAAACUUUAUCUAAGGAGAUAAAUUCAUUCCCAAGGCAGCUCUGUGUGUUUCAUUACUACUAUGGUGGAAUACAGUUAAGAAUCAGGCAACAACUUUAGUUUUUGUGGCCAGGUGUUCCUUUGUGUUCAGAUCAGGCCUCAGAACAAGAAUGUAGCAUUUGGGAAUGAAGAUGCAGCCCAGAAGCCCAGCACUGGAAGCCAAGAUAGAGAAGAUCUGCACGGCUACCAUGUAUUUCCCCUUUGUGCUCAGGUAGGUGGGCACAAAGGAGACCCAAACGCUGCAGAAGACCAGCAUGCUGAAGGUGAUCAGCUUGGCUUCAUUGAAGGCCCCAGGCAGCUUCCUAGCUAAGAAAGCCACUGUGAAGCAGAUGGCAGCCAGGAAGCCCAUGUAACCCAGGGCAGCAUAAAACAUGGCAAUAGACCCUUCAUUGCAUUGCAGGGUGAUCUCUCCAGCCUGGGAAUGCUUGUCAGAGUCUGGGAAUGGGGGAGAGAUGCCCAGCCAAAUGAUGCAAAGGACCAUUUGGACACUGGAGCAGGAAAUGACAAUGGAGUUGGCCAGACUUUUCCCUAACCAUCUCCUCACCCUGUUCCCUGGCUUUGUGGCCAGGAAGGCCAGCACCACCAUGAUGGUUUUGGACAGCAAAGAGGACACAGCUACCGAGAAGAUGGUGCUGAAGGCCGUUUGUCGAAGGAGGCAGGUGACUUUCCUGGGACGGCCAAUGAAGAGGAAGGAAGACAAGAAGGACAGCAGGAGGGAGACAAGGAGGAUGAAGGAGAGGUCCCUGUUGUUGGCUUUGACUAUGGGAGUUUCCUUGUAUUUAAUGAAGAUCCCUACAGCAAAGCCUGUGCUUAAGGACAGGAAGAGAGCCAAAGACGUCAGGAUAAUCCCCAAAUAUUCUUUAUAUGAUAGGAAGGUGAUAAUCCUCGGAAUGCAGUGAUCUCGGUCCUUGUUUGGAUAUUGUUCUUCUGGACAUUUGGUGCAACGCUCUGCAUCUGAGGAGGAGAAAAGGAAUGGCUUUGGCUUUGCUUACAGACAUAUUCUAUUACAUGUCGAGAAAUGCACUCAUAUGGGAGAUAUCAGAAAACGAGAAUGUAUUGUUAAAAAGGAAAGCUUCUUCGGUGCAUUUCCUUAUGGGAUAGUUUUUGGGCAGUAACACUACUUCAUUUCCAUAUUUCAUUUCACUUUUAAUUUGUAUACUGCCUUUCUAUAUUGCUAUGCAGAAGGAAGGUUACAAGCUGAAGAAACAACAAAUUAGACAGCAAAGAUCACAGGCGUAAUACACACAAACAAAAAGUCAUAAUAAAAGCAUAACUUUAAAAUAAACAACAUAUCAAAUUAAGCAAAAUUCAAUACUAUUCAGUAAUAAUACUAAGGAAUAGUAAACACUAAAAUUUAAUAAAGUGUCCACAAAUAAUAAACAGCUAUCACUUAUCAUGUACAAUAAAGAAUUACUAAUCUAUAAUCAAUAAAAAACAGUAAGUCACAAUGAAUAAAAUACCACAAAACAUGCAAACCAUGUAAAAGGGUCAAACUGAGAAACAAGGACACACAACUUAUGAUUUAUUUAUUUUUAAUUUCUUGAUCUCCUCUCUUCCAAGCUGCUACAGCUGUUCUCAAACUCCUUGUCUGGGAUAUCCAAUAACUUCCUGCUGAAAUUCCAUAAUUUUUUAUUGUUCUACAAUGCAAUGGAAUGGAAUGUUCACCUAAUUUUUUUGAUUAUUGUGCAUCAUGGUUUCUCUCUUUAAAUAAAUAUUUGCUAUUUUCACUAUUUCUCGUUUAUUUUGAAGACAUUUUUAAUUUCCUUUUGUGAGGGUGGUUCUGGUUCUCUGAUCCUAGAAGGCUUGGUAUAAAAUAGCCAAAGCUGUGCCUUAUGGGCAGGGCAGGCUGAACCCAACUGGCAUCCCACAGUUCGCUUCCUGCAAGUCAUUUCUUUCAAAUUACUUCCUGGAAGGGGAUUAAAAAUGCAUCCAAAUAUGUCUUUAGAAUCUUCACAGAAAGUUUCCGACUGAUAUGUUGCCCUAUUCAUAUUCUCCCAACAAAUUGUGCCUUAUGGGCAGGGCAGGCUGAACCCAAUUUGCAUCCCAGAGAUUGCUUCCUGUGAGUCAUUUCUUUCAAAUUACUUCCUGGGAGGGGAUUAAAAAUCAAGAAAGGAUCUGCAUCCAAAUAUGUCUUUAGAAUCUUCCCAGAAUGUGUCUGACUAAUAUGUUGCCCUAUUCAUAUUCUCCCAACAAAUUCCAUCUCCUGUGGCGUCACCCACCUUCCUGUGUAGAUACGGUCCCUUCCCCACACGGAACACAAGCGUAGCAGCAAACCGGCUUGUCUUCUUGAACCACCUUGGCAUAUCCUGGGCGACACCUUUUGGUACACCUGGCGUGAGGAACAGUCUAGCCAUAAAGAAAAGAUGGCACAUUAAAGGGGAAGUGUCAGCAAUAUUUGUGCAUAUGGAACUCACUCAGAGAGUCUGGAAAGAACCCAGCAGGGUCUCCAGUCCCACAAGAAAGCACCCUUGAAGUCACUCAGCAUGGGGGCCCGCUAGGGGCGCCUUGGAAGAUGGCCGACAAUACCAUCUAUCCGGCUCGCACGAGAUAAUUAGAGGCUGAUUAUGGGGAGUAUAUCAGUCUCCCUGAUCUUCCCAGGGGGUGGGAAGAUGCUGUCUCGCCCGUGGUUGUCCAUAAAUCACCCCCGAGUUUGAAAAAAGGAGGGGUGGGGGCACUGAGCGGAAAGCACUUGUGCGAGUUCUGGAGCUCCCGGACGCUACUUUCAGGAGCGAAACUAGCUGCGUUGCUUAAGAUUAAAAAAAAAAAUUGGAGAAGUAAAUGCACAUGUUUCGAGCGAGGUCAGGCAUGUAUUAUCUGCUAAAUAAAUUUACCACGGAGAAGACAGAGCGAUGGGACGGAAUGAACAAAGGACUACAUCAAAGAAGCACAGCCAUGCCGGUAUGUUGAACGGAACGGAAAGGGGGGAACUUUCUUUUUUUUUUAGUAUGAUUUACCUAACAACCCCCUCCCCCCUUAGAAGAACCGCCGCAAUGAUUGAUUGCAAGUGAGAAUGAAAAAUAGACUGUGUGGAAACAAAAAUGCUAAUAAAAGGAUUUACUCUGUGAAAGAUCUGGAAAGAAGGGAGGCUUUCUUGUGGCGUAGUUACAAAGUGAUCCGCCAUUAAGAGGCAGACCUUGAUGCAAGAUUUUCAGUUUUAGGGAGGGCAAGCCACUGUUCUGCUAUCAGGUUUGGAUCGUAAAUUUGAAAGGGCAAUAACCCUUCUGGAAAGACUGAUUUAUGGUGCAGAAGGUCUGGGAAAAUUAAGGAGCGGACGCCGAGACUGUAUUUCAUCGGAAUUGACUAAAAUGGCGACUGCCGCCUGAAUAAGACUCUUGGACUCUUGGAUUUAUGUGAGAUGAAUUACGGGAAAGCAUUACAAAGUUCACACAGAAAUAUAACAAGGCUGUUUCUUUCAACUCACUGGUGGAGAAAAUUCAGAGGUUAUUAAGAAGAAAAAGGAUAAUGACAAGGAGAUGAGAAGAUGGGACUGUGAACAUCAAAGCAGAAGAAAUAUAAAGAUGAUUGGACUCCUACCAAACUCAAAGCAUGGGUACCCCCCACAAAAAAUUUAAAAUUUAGUUUAAUAUUUGGACUUAGUGAUAUGUGUUGAUAUAAUUUGGAAUAAAUAAUAUGAUAUGAUAUGAUUGGUUUGGUAAAUGGAAAUUUAAUAAAAAAUAUAUAUAUAUAAAAACACCCUUGAUGUCAGGGGUGCCAACUUGAAUAAAAUAUUGUGGGGGCCCAGGUAAGCCGCACAACACAUAAUCGAUGCCCAUCAACUUUAUGGGGUCCCAGCUCCCUCAAAUAUUUUAUUGUGGGGCCAAAGCCCCCAAAGUUCCUAGGAAUUGGCUCCUAUGCUUGAUGUAGAACGGAAACCCCCCUACAGUGUUUACUUUUGUAACAAUAAUAAUUUAUUUAUACCCCACCCAUCUGGCUGGGUUUCCCCAGCUGUGCUGGGCGGCUUCCAACAAAAGAUUAGAAAAACAUCAAUCAUUAAUAUCUUCCCUAAACAGGGCUGCCUUCAGAUGUCUUCUAAAAGUCAGGUAGUUGUUUAUUUCCUUAACAUCGGAUGGGAGGGCGUUCCACGGGGCAGGCACCACUACUGAGAAGGCCCUCUGCCUUGUUCCCUGUAACCUCACUUCUUGCAGGGAGGGAACAACCAGAAGGCCCUCAGAGUUGGACCUGAACAAUGGGGGUGGAGACGCUCGUUCAGAUAUAAUGGGCUGAGGCCGUUUAGGGCUUUGAAGGUCAGCACCAACACUUUGAAUUGUGCUUGGAAACGUACUGAAAAAGGUAUCAGUACAUAGGUCUUUGAACAACUGGAAUGAAGCACAGUAUAAUAUUAAUAAAUAAAUUAAAAAAUUACAUGCAUACAAACAUACAUACAUACAUGUGUGUAUGUAUCUGCACAUGAAGAGCAUUAUACACAUUUAAUAAUUUACUUAAUUAAUUAUAAUGAAAGCAUCAGCCAAACUUCCAAAAGAUUAUACUUGAAUUCCUCUUGGAAAUAUUCAACAGAUUACUAGAUCUUCAUGUGUAUCAUGUGGAAUAAAGGGGCUCUUACCUGGUUGAACCACUUGGGCCACACAAUAGCUUCUGGGUUAAUGGCGAGCUUGAAGUCAGUGGAUGCCUCUCUCUCUAUACUCCCAAUUUUCACUCUAACACAAGACUCAUUGGGAAGCACCACCCAAUUCUCAAUAUCAAACAUGAUUGGCAGCUCCCCAUUCUCACCCAAAUACAGUCCGCCCAUGGAAGUGUUCAACAACCGGGUUUCUCUUAAGAAAGGGUGAAGCUGGAAUGACAGGGAAAACACGAGCAUUUCAAAGCAUUUUGGACAUCUCAUCCCUUCUCCCUUUGAACUCCAAAGUCCUGGCAUACCUGGCCUCGUUGGAAUCUACAGAGGACUAAACACCAGAUCUUAGAAAGCAUUUUAGAUGCCUCAUCCCUGCUUCCUUGGAACUCAAAACUCCUGUCGUGCCACAACUUCUCCUACUGGCAAAACUAAACAGACACCCUCCAGGUGGAAUGAUGUCUGUUUUUACAUGUUUGGCUUCUUUUAGUUUUAUUAUAUGAUCUUAUGUUUUUUAUUGCAGUAGACCACCUUGAUAUUUUAUGAAAUACACAUUGUAUAUAUAUUUUCCAGCAGGAGCCUAAAAAAAUAAUCUAAAUCUAAAUAAAUAAAACAAAAACCUUUUCCUCACUGUUGCAUUCGUGCCUAAAUCAAUGAGAAUGAUUAUUGUAGAGUUGGUGGAAAGAACUUUGAUUUCUAGAAAUGGAAAGGAAAUACCUGCCAUGCCUGUAGCCUUUGACAUGGCAACUGGUCUCCUCCACCCACCAUCAACAUCUGCUUUGAUCUGGAUGAACAGGCAACAUUUAAAGCAUGUGCCAUGAUUUGGACACUGAAGUAUGUUCUGUGGCUGUCUUGAGACAGAACACUCUGCAGCUCCUCUUCAGACGGCACCUCCGGAUUCUCCACAUCUCUGCAUCUUGUCCAACCUCUCACAGCGAGGACGUGCUUUGAGUAUAAACAACUAAAUGCUUUUUGCAGCAAAAGAUAGGACUCUGAUUUACGUUUGCUCCUUAUUUUGGUCUUCAUUACAAAGGAGAAUGAACCAUGGAUAUACUUCAAGUACUUGGGACCGAAAAACAAAUUUAUGUCAAGGUCUUGAAAAGCUGUUGUGAGCCAUACUUUUGGCCCAAUUUGUUUCUCAUGUUCUUCUUGCAGUUGCAUGAUGACACGCAGUGCUGUAUGAACGUUUACAUAGUAAAGGAAUACAUUGGUCUGUCUCCGUAGGGUAAUUAAUUUACUUUGUGUCAGUAUCUUAGGUUCAUUCUUUUCUGGUAUUGUUAAUGAAAAGGCAACACAAAUUCCAUUGCUGGCCAUCAGAGAUGUCAUGGCACUCAAGAACCUUUCUCCAUUCUCACUGUCCGGAGCAAAGAGGCCGAUCCACGUCCAUCCGAAAUGCUGGAGGAACUUUACAAUCGCCAGAUACUGAACUUCUUCAUUGGGGACCGUACGGUAGACAAAAGGGACUUCAGUGUUCUCAUCAACAACCCCAGAUACAAAGCCAUAACUGAUCUGGAAGAAAACUAGAGUGUUUUAUUUUCAGAGGAAAGUACAGGAAUAGCCUGAAAUAUUUAAUACCUAACAAAUAUUGUGCUGACUGGGGCUGAUAGUUUUAUUUGGAAACUUCGGGAGGCUGCAACCCUAACAAAGUCUCCGUUUUAAUAAUAAUUAUUAUUUAUUAUUUAUACCCCGCCCAUCUGGCUGCAUUUCCCCAGCCACUCUGGGCGGCUUCCAACAGAACACUAAAAUACAAUAACCUAUUAAACAUUAAAAGCUUCCCUAGCAGGGAAGAAUCAUAGAAUUGUAGAGUUGGAAGUGACCCUGAGGUUCAUCUUGUCCUGCAACCUUGAUGUUGGCAGCACCACACUCUAACCAACUGAGCUAUCUAGCUUAACAUAGCUCAGGAUUUUCUCCCUCUUUGAUGCCUCUUUUUGACUCUGCUGACGAUAAUGAGAAUUUAUUUUGCUGCUGAACCUGUUUUGUGUUCCUCCAUGCCCCAUCCUUCAUACCUGUGGGAUUUUGUACAUGCCUGACGUGGUUGAAAUCACUUUGGAGAUGAUGGAAUUGGCUCCUUCAAGAACAGCCAAGAUAUUAUUCCAUUUUCCACAGCGAUAGUUUGGAAUAUUGCUUUCCCCACCUGCAAGCAGGUCUAGCAUGGCAUCAGAAGUGAUCCUUGCAUUGUAAUAGUUCUCAUAGAGGCUGUAGCCCAGAGUGAUGUUGGGUAAGAGCCUGGGAUCCUGGUUGAUCUCUUGGAUGGUGAACAAGAACGACAAGAUAUGCCAGUAGAACCUAUAUGGCAAUCUGUAAGAAAUCAAUCAAAUAAAAAUGUCAAACCAUUCACCACUUGUUGAAAAUAAAUAGUAUUUGAUUCCCUAAAUAAUGGACUGCAUUAGGGCUGCCAUACAGGCAUAGCAGGAAGAUAACAGUUGGAAACAGUGUGCGGGUGGAAAUCACUGGAAUUUCCUUUAAAAUAACUCAGAAACUUUGCCAAUAAAUCUUUUUGUCUAGAUUUUCACUUGUCACUAUAUGGGGACCCUAGUCUGUAUGUUUGUUUGAAGGGUGAGAAGAGACAUAUCCUUCUUACAAGAUGAAAAUCCAUUUGCCACUUAAGAACUAAAAUAUAAGGAUUUCUCAAGAGGAGAAGCACACAUCUUCAAAGAAGGAAAAUGAAGAAAACAUUAUUCUUUCCGAAUGUGUGAGAAAUAUGGGGACAUGGCUGCUAAGGCUAGUAUUGGCUGCUUCAAAGGAGUUGCAUAAAGAGCCAACUGCAAUGGAGAGCUAAGUCUGUUUAGAAGCUCUAUUUGAUUAGUAUGGCUUAUUUUCAAUAGGCAAGAUUAGGAUUGGGCUGUUCUUUAAUAAAGGCCAGUUCCAACCAGUCUUCCAAUGAAACAAACCAUCAGAAGGAUGUAUUUCCUUCCGUCUCUCCUGUGCAAGUGAAUUCAGGUGUCUGGCACAGCAGUGAGGGGGAAAUCUUAGGAAUGGGGAUUGCUGCUGGGGGAGGGGGCAGAGAAAAAAGUCCCUGGAGCCAAAUUAAUUCCCAAGAAGCACUGAACUUGGCUAAGCUUGCAAUUGCGUGUCUUAUUCUGCAUCAAAGGGGGCUUCUAGUGUAGUUCCAGUUUGAGAUAAUGUCCACUUAAACUAGCAUUUCAUCCAGAAUGAUAGUUUCCUUGUCAUUCAUAUUUCUCCCUGUGGGAACUGUUCAAUCUCAAUGCAAUGGCAGUCGCAGACACUACUGGUAAUUCUGCUGAUAUCUUCUGGGAGGUUAUUUCAGACAGGGGAAGGGAUGGAAUCAAAUGCCCUCCCAAAUGUCAGCAUAAAAGACCUCUGUUUUGUCUGUUUAAAUAUGUUUUCUUUUGGUUUUCAACAGUAACACUAUAAACUUAACAUGAACAGCAAACAGAACACUCAGAGUAUAUAUUAUUGGAAGUAACCUUAAGGUACAUAAUAGGCUCACUGGUUAAUUAGUCCUCUCCAUAGAGAUACAUGUGUUAUAGGGGGUUGCAAUAACUGUGCUGGCUUCUUAAUGUGGUCUGUAAAGAACAACCACAUGCUUAAAAAUUCGGCUUUAUUUACGUGUCCAUUAAAAACUCUGCCGCAUUGGGUCAAAUGUUCAGAAAGUGCUAUUUCCCAUACACCUGCAUACCAGGAACACAAAGUAGGAUUUUCUCCAGUGUCCCACUCAUCUCAUGAAUGCAGGUGUGGUCAUUCAGUGAAUCAUUUUGAUGCCUGAUCAGGUUCAUUUAUACACUUGUGUUCUUCAGCAAGCAACACAGCAGCACAGAAGGUAAAAAUAGAGCACGUCUGGGAAGAUGCAACCCACUAGCUGGUGAGAAACUCAAGUUCCCUUCAGCCCCUGCCAGCAUAGCCAGUGAUCAGGGGUGAUGGGAGCUGUAGUCCCACAACGUCUGGAAGACCACAGAGUCCUCACCACUAAAAUGGAGACUAUUUCCCUAGUAAACAGGAGCCAUUGGGGUGCAGUAGAAAAACGUGACGUCCUUCUGCAUAUAAUUACUUACUCAUCCUUAAACCUGGUUAAUGGGGGCUGCGAAAAGAUGUAUGGAUGUUGUAGAGCAAUCAAAGUUGGAGAUAUUAUCCCGCCAAUGAGGAAGUCGCCAGUCUGGAAAUAAUUCUGUGCUUUGAUUCCUUCCCGGAUUGGAUUCAAGGGGCAUUUUGCUUUCAGGUUUCCGCAGGAUUCAAGCAAAAUGAGCAGCAUCAGCAUAUGGGAUCUCAUUCUGACUGACUGCUACACCUCUCUUGUGAGUGUUCCUCUCUCCCCCAUAGCCAGCUACAUCAGAACAAGCCAAAAAACUCUUAUUUAUCCAAUAUGGGUAGUGCUCAGCUAUAGCUUCAGAGCCAUUAAACCUCACACAGAUGUAUCCCACCCCUCUUACUCUCAAUCAUGACUCAGUCUGUCUCUGACACAGGUGAUCUUUUGUGCAUCAACUUUUCCCUCAGGAACAAGGCAGAAUAAAUCACUAUGAUGUUGAUAAUUAUAAGGGGAAGGAAGUUCAUCUUUGCAACAACCUGAAGUCUCUGUGUGGCCUGAGGGGCAGGAGCAGAGUUGGAGAUAAACAUGUUUGGGAGGAAACAAAGUUGCUGCUCCAAAGUUUGACAUGGGUCACGUGGUGAGUGACAGUUUGGCAUGAACUUUGCUGCUGACAAGAGCAUUACAAGAGUCCUGCUGCUGGUUCAGUUCAAAGCUUAAUCCAAUGCAGUAUCUUGUUGCACCCAGUGGCCAAUCAGACAUUUCUGGGAUCCACCCAAGCUGAUGGCAAUAGAGUUGAUCCCAGCAACUGACAUUCAGAGAUAUGCAGCCUCUGAUUCUGGAAGUGAUGUGUCUUUUAAAAGUGUCUCAGUUAGCAGCUGAAACAAAAUUUUAAAAAAUCCUUCCAGUAGCACCUUAGAGACCAACUAAGUUUGUUAUUGGGCCGACUCUGGGGUUGCGGCGCUCAUCUAGCCUUAUUGGCCAAGGGAGCCGGCGUACAGCUUCCGGGUCAUGUGGCCAGCAUGACUAGGCCGCUUCUGGCGAACCAGAGCAGUGCAUGGAAAUGCCAUUUACCUUCCCGCUGGAGCACUACCUAUUUACCUACUUGCACUUUGACGUGCUUUCGAACUGCUAGGUUGGCAGAAGCAGGGACCGAGCAACGGGAGCUCACCCCGUCGUGGGGAUUCGAACCGCCGACCUUCUGAUCAUACAUGUCCUAGGCCCUGUGGUUUAACCCACAGCGCCACCCGUGUCCCGUGCAUGCGUACUUCUUCACUAUUUCCUGUGUCAGUGAAUUUCUCCAUUGGGCUACAGUAUCCAAAAAAUUGCUUCCUAUUUUAUAUAUAGAUUCUCCAAGUGGAUUCUUCCAUGGAUGCCUCUUUGAGGGGCUUAGAGGAUUCACAAAGAUUCCAGGGGAUUCCUCAAGGACACAAUUUGCGGAAUGCUUUCCGGGGAGGUUUGGCUGGUACCUUCAUUGUACACCUUUAGGUGCCAAGCGAAACGUUCCUUUUUAACCAGGCCUUUCGCUGAUUGACAUCCAAUGCCCUUUUAAAUGUUUUCUGGUGGAGGCAUUAUUGGUUUGUUUAUGUUCUUUUUUUAUGUAUUUUGCCUUUUUUACAUUGUCUUUUUAUGUUGUGAACCACCCUGACAUCUAUGGCCAAUUGGUGCUAUUAUUAAUAACAAUAAUAAUAAUAAUAAUAAUAAUAAUAAUAAUAAUAAUUAAUCAAACUGAGGUGUCUGGCUUAGCUCAUUUCUGACUACCUAAUAUCACUUAGUCAUGUCCUUCCAUUUCAGUUGACAACGUCUUAAGAGGCUUAGGAAAUUCAUCUAUGAGUAAUAUGCAGUCUAACUCAAGAUCAAAGAGCGUGGUACAGGAAUGAUUUCAAGCAACAGUGGGCAACUCCACAAUUGCUAUUAGUGAAGAAUCGGGAAUCAGAAGCUUUAAGAGGUCUACUGUCAAUUAUCUAUCUCCUCCGCAUCACAAGUGAGCUAAGGGAACUUUGACAACGAUGCUUUUCCUCACCAUACACAUGGUUAGCUGGAAUUGCAGUGAGAGGAAACUGCUUGCCUAUGCAGUGGGGGGUGGGGUUAUUGGGGCAUUGUUUUUUGAUUAUGUAAUUUGUGGUUUCAUAGUUAUACUUUGAUUUUCUUCUGUGAACCGCCCUGAGACCUCCGGUAUAGGGUGGUAUAUAAAUUGAGUAAAUAAUGAUAAUAAUAAUAUUUGUGGAGUUUACAGCAGCCCUCAGGAAAAUACUAUCUGGGAUCCAGAUUAUUUUUUAAUUCCAACAACAACCUGUGGUUCCACUCAAGAUUCAGAGGGGUGGGGACAUUCAACUCUACAAUUCUACAACUGUACAAAGGCCUCCGUUUAUACCGUCCUGAUCUUGCUCUUUGGCCAAACUCCCACUGUAGCUUACAAAUCAUUCCUAAAACUGCCUAUGACUUCAAGUUUAUAAUUUUAAAAGACAUGGAUAAUAACAAUAAAAGUAGCACAGCAUUCUAAAAUCGAUUCAUUUUAAAAUCAAUUCAAAUCAGAUUAAUGGCAACCACUGGGCUAGAGUUUUGUGAUGAUUACGAAAGGAGGGGGUCAGACUGUGCCUUGGCCAAAGGCCAGGCGGAACAGCUCUGUCUUGCAGUCCCUGCGGAAAGAUGUCAAGUCCCAAAGGGCCCUAGUCUCUUGUGACAGGGUGUUCUACCAGAUCGGGGCCACAGCCAAAAAAGCCCUGGCUCUGGUUGAGGCCAGUCUAACCUCCCUGUGGCCCAGGACCUCCAAGAUGUUUUUAUUUGAAGACCGUAAGGAGCAAAAGGAAAAGAGAUUAGACUUCCGGGGUGGCGCCUCCGGAAAAUGGCGGAAUUCCCUUCGGACUGAAGGGAACCCGCUGCACGGAGGCUUGGGUCCUGCCGCUACGGCGCAGCGGGGACCCGCAAAAACCACAGGCGGAAGAAGCCUGUGGACGUGGGACUCGGCGGGCACCGAGAGCGCUCUCUCCCCUUGUACAGGAGCCCGGUAACGGGCUCCGGAGUGGGAGGUGCGUGGUGCUGUGAGUCGUCUGCUUCCUCCGUGCAGCAAAGCCGCACUGCCGUUAUCGGAGAGCGCUGCCUUUUCCUGGACAAUUUGGCAUCUAAAAUAUCUAUCCGUGAGUACCUGAUCUUGGAAGAGUUGAACCACUUUUAAGACUGGUGAAUAAACAAAUAAUAUUGGACUUGAAAUUGAACUUAAUUGGGACUCGGAAUGGGAAGGUCUAAACAGGAAGUCGCCUUCCGUUCUUUUGUUAUGUGAAGAAAGCAAAGACAAAAUAUACUAAAGCUUGAAAAUUAAAUUCUAAGAGAACUAGAAUUCAACAUCUAAGAUUUCUGAACCCCCUUUGACUGCAGGAGAAGAAGGGGGUUGUAUUUGGACUUUUCAAUCCUGCGGAAGUGAGUUUAAAAUAAAGCAAUUUUCCACCGCCCUGAACCAGGAGCGGGCUGUCAGAAUUGACGUUCUGAAGUUUAUCCAGCUCGACAGUUAGUUAAAAGAAGGGUAACAUUUUGAUUCUACUGUUGCCUCUUGAAUUUGGAAGGGGAAUUUUGGAUAAAGUGUUUCUGGAAAAAGAAAGAUUGUUGCUGUUGCUUUUAUUCCUUUUAAAAAAAAAAAAAUUCCAUAUAGUGGAAUUUAGUGAAAUUUCCACGCAGAGAGAUUAAAAGAGAAGGACUAUUGGACUAUUCUCGUGGGAAAGAAUUUUCUUUGACCUUGAAGGACAAUGCUAGUACAAAGGCUUGAACAAUUGUUCCUGGAAGGUUUUUCAAAACUAAGUGCCCAGCUGGACCAGAUGCGUCAGGAGACGACCUUGAUGAUGGAAGUUACCAGAGCACAGCAGCAAAUAAAUGAAAUUCAGUUAAAGGCUAUACAAGCAUAUGAACCUGCUGUAGUGACGGAGGCUUCAGAGAUGGAGGGACCUUUGGACGGGCAAGAUCAGCCUUUGAACUUGAUAAAUGAACUUGGGACAAACCAGAUUCGGAAAGAUGAAAUGUGGUCAGAUUUGGAAAUGGGGGAUGGAUCGACCCCCUCCAUAUGGUUAUUUGGACCUUCCGAGUCUGGUGAUGGGCUAUCAGAGGAUUGGAGUAGCCGAAGUCUCCAAGCUUUGUGGAAAUUUGAAGUGGUAUUAUUUGCUGUCUGGCUUGGGCAAUGGGUUUGGGAUGGACUUGCUGCAAAGGGUCAAAAGCAUUUUCUUGCUGGAGCAUCCACGACUGGAAAGGAAUCAUCAACAAGAGUGGCGAAAGGGGCAAGAAAGAGACUUGAGGGCCUCGGAUACGAGACAACCAGGUUAAGGAGCCGGAUUAUCGAGGUUAAAAGGACUGACAAUCCCGGGUCCAGGGGAGGGGAGGUUGGAAGCUGACUGGACUGAAUUUGACUUAUUAUUUUUUCUUUUUUAUUUUUAAUAUUGGGAAUGCUUACAAAUGUUUGAAGGAUGUUGAAUGAAAUUACAUGGCUUAAGUAAGGAUUGGUAAAUGAUUCGUAAAAGGUAAUGAUGCAAGAAUUUGGUAAAUAUUGAAUAUAAGCUAUGAGUUUUAAAGUUUUUAUAUGACAAGAGGGAAAAUAGAAUAAGGAAACGUAAUGACAGAUUGUUAUGAAAAAACAGAAAGGAUUUGCUGUAAAAAUUAAAAAUUAAGAAACAAAAGAGGGGAGGAGGAGGAAGUCUAGAAAGGAAGUCAAUAGAGAUUGUAAAGGACUUUAUAUUUUUGUUUUUCUGUUUCUCUUUUUUUUUUUCUUCUUUGCGGCUGGGUUUUCUUUUCUUUUUUGUUUAUGUACUAUUUUUGUUUUUUGUAUCCUUAAUUUUUUUUUUUGGAAAUUUUUGUUGUUAUUUUUUGAAAAUUCAAUAAAUAUCAAUUAUAAAAAAAAAAGAGAGAGAUUAGAAACUCCCCUCAGCCUCGGCCUCCACAAACAGUGAUCAGGAUGUUACGAGCCAGAGCCCAGCAGCACCACUGUCUCCCUAUGCCUGAAAUAAGAACUAUUUCCCGGUUAAAGGGAACCAUUGAAGUGGUGAUGGAGAAGCAUGAUAUCCAUGAUGUAUUUAAUUAUUUACACUUUAAGCUUGGUUACUGGGGGCUGGGAAAAAUUCUAUGGAAGUUGCUCAGCAAAGCUUCUUGGAGAUAUGAUUCCGCUAAUGAGGAAAUAUCCAGGCCAUGAGUAACUCUGCGCUUCAUUUUCUUCCCUCGUCAAAUUUAAGGAGCACUUUGCUUUCAGCUUCCCACAGACUUGUCAUGUGACAAAGACACAUGAGAGCAGAGGCAGCAAAGCAGGCUGGGAAGUGCUGGGACUGCACAGUCAUUUGGGCCUACUAAAGUUAUUCAGGCCUAACUGCUAACUGUUGAGUCACUCUGACAUGUGACAAAGUAGCCAGUUUCUCCUUUGUGCUCUCUGUAAGAAAUCAGAGUCUGUCUGCUUCAGUUGUGAGCAGAGUCAGUAUGUAAUCUCAGUCAAACUGUUUGGAAACAUGUUGUUUAUGAAGAAGUUUAUUUUAACUUAGUAAAGCUUUUAUUCUUUAAAACUCUGCAUUAUUCAUUUACGCUGCGCGUCAAGACUUGAUGGUCCAUUAGAAGCAGAGGCAGCAGCAGAAGCCGCAGCAGGGAGGUCAUUCUGGCUUGGCCUCCUACACCUCCAUUUUGACUUCUCCUUUCUCCCCCACAGCCAGGUAAUCAGAAGUCAACACCCUCCAGCACAGUGUGACACGUAUAACCUCAGGCUUCCUUGGCUUCUGAUGUUUGCGCAAUUGCCAGAGAUCUCUCUUGAGCUUUGGGAAGAAUAAACCACUAUCAUUUUUAUAAUUAAAAAGGGAAGAAAGUUCUUGGGAUCUCUACAUGGUUCAAGGGGCAGGGACAGAGCUGAAAAAAUAUGUUUACACCAAAUCACAGAUGUGGCUUCAAACUGCAACAUGAGUCACUUGAAUUUCGGGGAUGAGUUUGGCUUGACCUUUACUAAGAACAGCCCUGCUUGGUUAGUCCAAACUCCCAUCUAGUCCUGCAACACAGUGGCCAAUCAGACAUUGCUGAGAAGCUCACAAGCAGGGCAUGAAAGCAAUGGGCCUUGCCAGGCACUUGUCACCAGCCACUGGCAUUUGGGGGAAGUAACUAUGUACUGCAUGAUUCAAUCUUUUGUUUGCUCUCAAUCUCCCAACCUUCCGAUUCAUUGGAUGUCUAUGAGUGCUGGUGCUAUACAAGAGAGGGAGACAAAAAGGAUGCAUCCUGCCCUUCUCCAGCAGCUCAGUGCAAAUAAGUGAGAGGUCUGCUCCAUGGGGGUGAGUGGGGACUACCCCACCAAUCUCAACCGGCCUUCAUGCCACCACCACAUUCCAGCCUUUUACUUACAAGUGGUGGUUCUUGUCCAUCAUUGUCUCUGGCUCCAGCUAUCGUGGUGCCCCUCUCACUCCCACCAAACAGACAGCUGCCACAUAUAUUUGUUGAUGCUGACCUUUAAAGCCCUAAAUGACAUUGGCCCUGAAUAUCAAAAGGAGCGUCUCCACACCCAUCGUCCAGACCAGAUACUGAGGUCCAGCUCCAAGGGCCUUCUGGAGGUUCCCUCAAGCAUUAAUACACUCAAGCGAGAUUCCGUUUUUCAGUUGCUGUUUUUAAUAGUAGAAGCAGAAUUUCAAGUUACACUAAUUUAUUUUUUAGGCUUCGGUUAUGAACUCGGGAAGAAAGUAAGGUGGGUCAUGUCAAAAUAUAAACUGGAUAUUGUGGAGAAAGAUAAUUAUGUAUGAAGAGGGAGGCUGUACUCCAGGUGACUCUCCAGGUAGGGUUAUCCCGAAAAGUUGUAAGUCCAGACCCUCUCCAGGCAUGUGAUCCAAUGAUUCCCUUUCAUCAUUCAAGAUGAAUGAAAAAUGAAGAGCAAACAUAAUCUAAGGAGGUAAAUUCAUUCCCAAGGCAACUCUGUGUGUUUCAUUACUACUGUGGUGGAAAACGGUUAUAAAUAUAUUAAGAAUCAGGCAAUAACUUUAGUUUUUGUGGCCAGGUGUUCCUUUGUGUUCAGAUCAGGCCUCAGCACAAGAAUGUAGCAUUUGGGAAUGAAGAUGCAGCCCAGAAGCCCAGCACUAGAAGCCAAGAUAGAGAAGAUCUGCACAGCUACCAUGUAUUUCCCCUUGGUGCUCAGGUAGGUGGGCACAAAGGAGACCCAAACGCUGCAGAAGACCAGCAUGCUGAAGGUGAUCAGCUUGGCUUCAUUGAAGGCCCCAGGCAGCUUCCUGGCCAGGAAAGCCACCGUGAAACAGAUGGCAGCCAGGAAGCCCAUGUAACCCAGGGCAGCAUAAAACAUGGCAACAGACCCUUCAUUGCAUUGCAGGGUGAUCUCUCCAGCCUGGGAGUGCAUGUCAGAGUCUGGGAAUGGGGGAGAGAUACACAGCCAAAUGAUGCAAAUAACCAUUUGGACACUGGAGCAGGAAAGGACAAUGGAGUUGGCCAGACUUUUCCCUAACCAUCUCCUCACCCUGUUCCCUGGCUUUGUGGCCAGGAAGGCCAGCACCACCAUGAUGGUUUUGGACAGCAAAGAGGAUACAGCAACUGAGAAGAUGGUGCUGAAGGCCGUUUGUCGAAGGAGGCAGGUGACUUUCCUGGGACGGCCAAUGAAGAGGAAGGAGGACAAGAAGGACAGCAGGAGGGAGACAAGGAGGAUGAAGGAGAGGUCCCUGUUGUUGGCUUUGACUAUGGGAGUUUCCUUGUAUUUAAUGAAGAUCCCUACAACAAAGCCUGUGGUUAAGGACAGGAAGAGAGCCAAAGAAGUCAGGAGAAUCCCCAGAUAUUGUUUAUAUGAUAGGAAGGAGAUAAUCCUCGGAAUGCAGUGAUCUCGGUCCUUGUUUGGAUAUUGUUCUUCUGGACAUUUGGUGCAACGCUCUGCAUCUGAGGAGGAGAAAAGGAAUGGCUUUGGCUUUGCUUACAGACAUAUUCUAUUACAUGUUGAGAAAUGCACUCAUAUGGGAGAUAUCAGAAAAUGAGAAUGUAUUGUAAGAAAGGAAAGCUUCUUUGGUGCAUUUACUUAUGCGAUAGUUUUUGGGCAGUAACCCCGCUUCAUUUCCAUAUUUCAUUUCGCGUUUAAUUUGUAUACUGCCUUUGUACAUUGCUAUGCAGAAGGAAGGUUACAAACUGAAGAAACAACAAAAUAGACAGCAAAGAUCACAGACGUAAUACACACACAAAAAGUCAUCAUAAAAGCAUAACUUUAAAAUAAACAACAUAUCAUAUAAUGCAAAAUUCAAUAAUAUUCAAUCAUAACACUCAGAAAUAGUAAAAAGUAAAAUUUAAUAUCAGCAAAUAAGAAACAGCUAAUGCUUAUCAUGUACAAUAAAGAAUUCCUAAUUUAUAAUUAAUAAAAAACAGCAAGUCACAAUGAAUAAAAUACCACAAAACAUGCAAAAGGAUCAAACUGAAAAACUAGGACACACAACUUAUGAUUUAUUUAUUUUUAAUAUCCUUGAACUCCUCUCUUCCAAACUGCUACAGCUGUUCUCAAACUCCUUGUCUGGGAUAUCCCAUAACUUCCUGCUGAAAUCUCAUAAUCUUUAAUUGUUCUACAAUGCAAUGGAAUGGAAUGUUCACCUAAUUUUUUUGAUUAUUGUGCAUCAUGCUUUCUCUCUUUUAAAUAAAUAUUUGCUAUUUUCAGUAUUUCUCGUUUAUUUUGAUGACAUUUUUAAUUUCUUUUUGUGACAGUGGUUCUGGUUCUCUGGUCCUAGAAGGCUUGGUACAAAAUAGCCAAAGCUGUGCCAUAUGGGCAGGGCAGGCUGAACCCAAUUUGCAUCCCAGAGAUUGCUUCCUGCGUGUCAUUUCUUUCAAAUAAAUUCCUGGAAGGAGUUAAAAAUGAAGAAAUCAAUAAAGGAUCUGCAUCCAAAUACGUCUUUAGAAUCUUCACAGAAGGUUUCUGGCCAAUAUGUUGCCCUAUUCAUAUUCUCCCAACAAAUUCCAUCUCCUGUGGCGUCACCCACCUUCCUGUGUAGAUAUGGUCCCUUCCGCACACGGAACACAAGCAUAGCAGCAAACUGGCUUGUCUUCUUGAACCACCUUGGCAUAUCCUGGGUGACACCUUUUGGUACACCUGGCGUGAGGAACAGUCUAGCCAUGAAGAAAAAAUUGCACAUUAAAGGGGAAGUGUCAGCAAUAUUUGUGCAUAUGGAACUCACUCAGAGAGUCUGGAGAGAACCCAGCAGGGUCUCCAGUCCCACAAGAAAGCACCCUUGAUGUCAGGGGUGCCAACUUGAAUAAAAUAUUGUGGGGGCCCAGAUAAGCCACACAACACAUAAUUGAUGCCCAUCAUCUUUAUGGGUCCCCAGCCCCCUCAAAUAUUUUAUUGCGGGGGCCAAAGCCCCCACAGCUCCUAGGAGUUGGCUCCUAUGCUUGAUAUAGAAUGGAAGCCUCCCUGCUGUGUUUGCUUUUUAAAUAAUAACAAUAGCAAUAAUAAUUUAUUUAUACCCCACCCAUCUGGCUGGGUUUCCCCAGCCACUCUGGGCAGCUUCCAACAAUAGAUUAGAAAUACAUUAAAAUAUCAAUCAUUAAGAACUUCCCUAAACAGGGCUGCCUUCAGAUGUCUUAUAAAAGUUGUUUAUUUCCUUGACAUCUGAUGGGAGGGCGUUCCACGGGGCAGGCACCACUACCAAGAAGACCCUCUGCCUGGUUCCCUAUAACCUCACUUCUUGCAGGGAGGGAACGGCCAGAAGGCCCUUGGAGCUGGACCUCUGAACGAUGGGGCUGGAGACGCUCCUUCAGAUAUAUUGGGCUGAGGCGGUUUAGGGCUUUAAAGGUCAGCACCAACACUUUGAAUUGUGCUCGGAAAUGUACUGAAAAGAGUAUUAAUACAUAGGUCUUUGAACAACUGGACUGAGGCACAGUCUAAUAAUAAGAAAAAAGAGGGUACAUACAGGAGAAAUAGUUGUGUGCCCGGAAUAUUUGUGUCUAUGGAGUUGAUUCAUAGAGUUUGGAAACAACCCAACAAGUUCUCUAGGCUCAGGGCAAAAGAUGAAGAAAGAAAACUAAAGAAAAAGGCCAUCCCAGAACAGAAGCAAUAAAACACUCUGAUGAAGAGCAGUAUUUAAACAUAGAGUAUGAUCACAUCUUAUGCAGGGGUUACAUUCUGGGGAAGGAGUAGUAUAUGCAAAAAUGUAUAUACAGUGGUACCUUGGUUCCUGAAUGUCUUGGCUCCCAAACAAAUCAGCUACUGAUCGCUGCAAACCCGGGGGCAAGUGUUCCGGUUUGUGAACAUUUUUCGGAAGCCGAACGUCUGACGCGGCUUUCAGUUGAGUGCAGGAAGCUCCCGCAGCCAAUCGGAAGCCAUUCCUUGGUUUUCGAACAGUUUGGGGAGUUGAGCAGACUUCCGGAAUGGAUUAAGUUCCAGAACCAAAAUUCGACUGCGCUCGAAUGAGCCCCUUGGAACGGCUCCUGCACAACCACCCUGACCUUCCGGAGCUGGCAUGCCAAGCAGGUCUUACUCCCAAGCUCUCUGGUUUGCUCACUGGGCUCCAGGAUGCUCUUGCGUGGGCUCUGCGAUGUUCUCAUGAGAUCUCGCAGGGCCGGGCUGGAUUAACCAUUAAGCAGAAUAAGUACGUGCUUAGCGCAUCCAGGGAAGGCGGGCACCACAGGAAUUUUUCUGUUGCUGGAUUUACCAUGGACCAUAUUGUGCAGCUCAAUCAGGUUCCACAAAAAAGGCUCCCACAAUAAAUGAAAAAAUUACAUACAUACAUACACACAUACAUGUGUGUGUGUGUAUCUGCACAUGAAGAGCAUUAUACACAUUUAAUAAUUUACCUAAUUAAUUAUAAUGAAAGCAUCAGCCAAACUUCCAAAAGAUUAUACCUGAAUUCCUCUUGGAAAUAUUCAACAGUUUACUAGAUCUUCAUGUGUAUCAUGUGGAAUAAAGGGGCUCUUACCUGGUUGAACCACUUGGGCCACACAAUAGCUUCUGGGUUAAUGGUGAGCUUGAAGUCAGUGGAUGCCUCUCUCUCUAUACUCCCAAUUUUCACUCUAACACAAGACUCAUUGGGAAGCACCACCCAAUUCUCAAUAUCAAACAUGAUUGGCAGCUCCCCAUCCUCACCCAAAUACAGUCCGCCCAUGGAAGUGUUCAACAAACGGGUUUCUCUUAAGAAAGGGUGAAGCUGGAAUGACAGGGGAAACACCAGCAUUUCAAAUCAUUUCAAAGCAUUUUGGACAUCUCAUCCCUGCUACCUUUCAGCUCCAAAGUCCUGGCAUACCUGGCCUCGUUAGAAUUUACGGAGGACUAAACACCCGAACUUAGAAAGCAUUUUAGAUGCCUCAUCCCUGCUUCCUUAGAACUCAAAACUCCCUUUGUGCCACAACUUAUCCUACUGGCAAGACUAAACAGACACCCUCCAGGUGAAGGGAGUCUGCUUUUAACUGGUUUUGGCUUCUAUUGGUUUUAUUAUAUGGUCUUAUGUUUUUUAUUGCAGUAGACCACCUUGAUAUUUUAUGAAAUACACAUUUUAUAUAUAUUUUCCAGCAGGAGCCUAAAAAAAUAAUCUAAAUCUAAAUAAAUAAAACAAAAACCUUUUCCUCACUGUUGCAUUUGUGUCUAAAUCAAUGAGAAUGAUUAUUGUAGAGUUGGUAGAAAGAACUUCAAUUUCUAGAAAGGCAAAUGAAAUACCUGCCAUGGCUCUAGCCUUUGACAUGCCAACUGGUCUCUUCCACCCGCCAUCAACAUCUGCUUUGAUCUAGAUGAACAGGCAACAUUUAAAGCUUGUGCCAUGAUUUGGACACUGAAGUAUGUUCUGUGGCUGUCUUGAGACAGAACACUCUGCAGCUCCUCUUCAGACGGCACCUCCGGAUUCUCCACAUCUCUGCAUCUUGUCCAACCUCUCACACUGAGGACGUGCUUUGAGUUUGAACAACUAAAUGCUGUUUGCCGAAACAGAGUAAGAUAAGACUCUUUUUUACAGCAGUCCCGUUUGCUCCUAAUUUUGGUCUUCAUUACAAAGGAGAAUGAACCAUGGAUAUACUUCAAGGACUUGGGAAAGAAAAAUAAAUUCAUAUCAAUGUCCUGAAAAGCUGUUAUGAGCCAUACUUUUGGCCCAAUUUGUUUCUCAAGUUCUUGUUGUAAUGUCAUGAUGAAACCCAGUGCCGUCUGAAUGUUUACAUAGUAAAGGAAUACAUUGGUUUGUCUCCAUAGGGCAAUAAAUUCACUUUGUGUGAACAUCUUAGGUUCAUUAUUUUCUGGUAUUCUUACUGAAAAGGCAACACAAAUUCCAUUGCUGGCCAUCAGAGAUGUCAAGGCACUCAAGAACCUUUCUCCAUUCUCACUGUCUGGAGCAAAGAGGCCGAUCCAUGUCCAUCCAAAAUGCUGGAGCAACUUUACAAUCCCCGUGUACUGAACGUCUUCAUUGGGGACCAUGCGGUAGACAAAAGGAACUUUGGUGUUCUCAUCAUCAACCCCAGAUACAAAGCCAUAACUGAUCUGAAGUGGGGGAGAAAAAGUAUAGUGUUUCAUUUUCAAAGAACAGGAUUAGUCUGAAAUACUUAAUAUCUAACAAAUAUUGUGCUGGCCUGGGCUGAUAGUUUUAUUUUGAAACUUUGGGCAGUUGCAAAACUAGCAAAGUCUCUGUGUUGAAGAGUCAUAGAAUCGUAGAGUUGAAAGCGACCCUGAGGGUCAUCUUGUCCUCCCCCCCUGCAAUUCAGCUGUCCCAUACGGUGAUCAAGCCUGCAACCUUGACAUUGGCAGCACCACACUCUAACCAACUGAGCUAUCUAGCGUAACAUAGCUCAGGAUUUGAUGCCUCUUUUUGCUGAUGAUGAAGUGAAUUUAUUUUGCUGCUGAACCUCUUUUGUGUCCCUCCAUGCCCCACCCUUCAUACCUGUGGGAUUUUGUACAUGCCUGACGUGGUUGAAAUCACUUUGGAGAUGAUGGAAUUGGCUCCUUCAAGAACAGCCAAGAUAUUAUUCCAUUUUCCACAGCGAUAGUUUGGAAUGUUGCUUUCCCCACCUGCAAGCAGGUCUAGCAUGGCAUCAGAAGUGAUCCUUGCAUUGUAAUAGUUCUCAUAGAGGCUGUAGCCCAAUGUGAUGUUGGGUAAGAGCCUGGGAUCCCGGUUGAUCUCUUGGAUGGUGAACAAGAACGACAAGAUAUGCCAGUAGAACCUAAAUGGCAAUCUGUAUGAAAUCAAUCAAAUAAAAAGUGUCAAACCAUUCACCAUUUAAUGAAAAUAAAUCAUGAUCAGGUUCAUUUAUACACUUGUGUUCUUCAGCAAGCAACACAGCAGCACAGAAGGUAAAAAUAGAGCACGUCUGGGAAGAUGCAACCCACUAGCUGGUGUGAAACUCAAGUUCCCUUCAGCCCCUGCCAGCAUGGCCAGUGAUCAGGGGUGAUGGGAGCUGUAGUCCCACAACGUCUGGAAGACCACAGAGUCCUCACCCCUAAAAUGGAGACUAUUUCCCUAGUAAACAGGAGCCAUUGGGGUGCAGUAGAAAAACGUGACGUCCUUCUGCAUAUAAUUACUUACUCAUCCUUAAACCUGGUUAAUGGGGGCUGCGAAAAGUUGUAUGGAAGUUGUAGACCAAACAAAUUUGGAGAUAUUAUCCCGCCAAUGAGGAAGUCGCCAGUCUGGAAAUAAUUCUGUGCUUUGAUUCCUUCCCGGAUUGGAUUCAAGGGGCAUUUUGCUUUCAGGUUUCCGCAGGAUUCAAGCAAAAUGAGCAGCAUCAGCUUCUGGGAUCUCAUUCUGACUGACUGCUACACCUCUCUUGUGAGUGUUCCUCUCUCCCCCAUAGCCAGCUACAUCAGAAGAAGCCAAAAAACUCUUAUUUAUCCAAUAUGGGUGGUGGUCAGCUACAGCUUCAGAGCCAUUAAACCUCACACAGAUGUAUCCCACCCCUCUUACUCUCAGUCUUGACUCAGUCUGUCUCUGACACAGGUGAUCUUUUGUGCAUCAACUUUUCCCUCAGCAACAAGGCAGAAUAAAUCAUGAUGAUUUUGAUAAUUAUUAGGGGAAGAAGUUCAUCUCUGCAACAACCUGAAGUCUCUGUGUGGCCUGAGGGGCAGGAGCAGAGUUGGAGAUAAACAUGGUUGCGAGGAAUCAAAGUCGGUGCAAAGUUGGUUAGUUUGACAUGGGUCACGUGGCUUACCUGGGUCCCCACAAUAUUUUAUUUAAGUUGGCACCCCUGACAUCAAGGGUGUUUGCUUGUGGGACUGGAGACCCUGCUCUCCAGGGAGGUCCGGCUGCUACCUUCAUUGUACACCUUCAGGUGCCAAGCGAAAUGUUCCUUUUUAACCAGGCCUUUGGCUCAUUGACAUCCAAUGCCCUUUGAAAUGUCUUCUGGGUGGAGGGAUUAUUGGUUAGUUUGUGUUCUUUUUUAUUAUGUAUUUUGUCUUUUUUUAUAUUGUAUUUUUAUGUUGUGAACCACCCUGACAUCUAUGGCCGAUGGGCGCUAUAGAAAUUUAAUAAAUACGAUAAUAAGAAUAAGAAUAAAAUCAAACUCAGGUGUCUGGCUUGGCUCGUUUCUGACUACCUAAUAUCAAGUUUCAGUCAUGUCCUUCCAUGUACUAAGUUUUCUCCUAGUCUUGUACUUUUGAUCCUCAUCAAAACUCACAUGCCGAAAAUAUUUCUCUUCCACAAACUAUGUGUAUCACCGUUGCAGAUUUCCAUAUGACCUUUUAUCUAUGUCCUUCCUGUAGCUAGUUUAAUGUCCCUUUUCUACUAAUUUAGCUAAGUUCAUUUUGCACUUUAGCAUUUCAGUUGACAACGUCUUAAGAGGCUUAGGAAAUUCAGCUAUGAGUAAUAUGCAGUCUAACUCAAGAUAGAAGAGCCUGGUACAGAAAUGAUUUCAAGCAACAGUGGGCAACUCCACAAUUGCUAUUAGUGAAGAAUCGGGAAUCAGAAACUUUAAGAGGUCUACUGUCAAUUACUGUCAAUCUCCUCCGCAUCACAAGUGAGCUAAGGGAACUUUGACAAUGAUGCUUUUGGACCUUUUUCUCACCAUACACAUGAUUAGCUGGAAUUGCAGUGAGAGGAAACUGCUUGCCUAUGCAGGGGGGAGGGGUUAUUGGGGCAUUGUGUUUUGAUUACGUAUUUUGUGGUGUCGUAGUUACACUUUGAUUUUGUUCUGUGAACUACCCUGAGGCCUCCCGGCAUAGGUAUAUAAAUUCAAUUAAUAAUUAUAAUAAUAAUAAGUAUAAUAAUAAUAUUCAUAGAGUUUACUGCAGCCCUCAGGAAAAUAAUAUCUGGGAUCCAGAUUAUUUUUUAAUUCCAACAACAACCUGUGGUUCCACUCAAGAUUCAGAGGGGUGGGGACAUUCAACUCUACAAUUCUACAACUGUACAAAGGCCUCAGGUUAUUUAUAGCAUCUUUAUCUUGCUCUUUGGCCAAUCUCCCACUGUAGUUUACAAAUAUCAUUCCUAAAACAGCCUAUGUCCUCAAGCUUAUAAUUUUAAAAGACACGGAUAAUAAUAAUAAUAAUAAUAAUAAUAAUAAUAAUAUUUUUUUAAAAAAAUAUUUUUAUUUAUAUCCCACCCUCCCCAGCUGAAGCCGGGCUCAGAGCGGCUAACAACAAUAAAAAUAACACAGCAUUCUAAAAUCAAUACAUUUAAAAUCAAUUCAAAUCAAAUUAAUGGCACCUCCAAGAUGUUUUUAUUUGAAGACCGUAAGGAGCAAAAGGAAAAGAGAUUAGAAACUCCCCUCGGACUUGGCCUCCACAAACAGUGAUCAGGAUGAUAGGAGCCAGAGCCCAGAAGCGCCUGAAGGGCCACUGUCUCCCUAUCCCUGAAACUAUUUCCCUGUGAAAGUGAACCAUUGAAGAGGUGGUGGAGAAGCAUGAUAUCCAUGAUGUAUUUAAUUAUUUACUCUUUAAGCUUGGUUACUGGGGGCUGGGAAAAGUUAUAUGGAAGUUGCUCAGCAAAGCUUCUUGGAGAUAUGAUUCCGCUAAUGAGGAAGUCUCCAGGCCGCAAGUAACUUUGCGCUUCAUUUUCUUCCCUCAUCAAAUUUAAGGAGCACUUUGCUUUCAGCUUCCUACAGACUUGUAAUGUGACAAAGACACAUGAGAGCAGAAGCAGCAAAGCAGGCUGGGAAGUGCUGGGACUGCACAGUCAUUUGGGCCUACUAAAGUUAUUCAGGCCUAAGUGCUAACUGUUGAGUCACUCUGACAUGUGACAUAGUAGCCAGUUUCUCUUUUGUGCUCUCUGUAAGAAAUCAGAGUCUGUCUGCUUCGGUUGUGAGCAGAGUCACUAUGUAAUCUGAGUGUCAAACUGUUUGGAACCAUGUUGUUUAUGAAGAAGUUUAUUUUAACUUAGUAAAGCUUUUAUUCUUUAAAACUCUGUAUUAUUCAUUUACGCUGCACGUCAAGACUUGAUGGUGCAUUAGAAGCAGAGGUAGCAGCAGAAGCCGCAGCAGGGAGGGCAUUCUGGCUUGGCCUCCUACACCUCCAUUUUGACUUCUCCUUUCUCCCCCACAGCCAGGUAAUCAGAAGUCAACACCCUCCAGCACAGUGUGAUACGUAUAACCUCAGGCUUCCUUGGCUUCUGAUGUUUGGGCAAUUGCCAGAGAUCUCUCUUGAGCUUUGGGAAGAAUAAACCACUAUCAUUUUUAUAAUUAAAAGGGGAAGAAAGUUCUUGGGAUCUCUACAUGGUUCAAGGGGCAGGGACAGAGCUGAAAAAAUAUGUUUACACCAAAUCACAGACGUGGCUUCAAACUGCAACAUGAGUCACUUGCAUUUCCGAGAUGAGUUUGGCUUGAACUUUGCUAAGAACAGCCCUGCUUUGUUAGUCCAAACUCCCAUCUAGUCCUGCAACACAGUGGCCAAUCAGACAUUGCUGAGAAGCUCACAAGCAGGGCAUGAAAGCAAUGGGCCUUGCCAGGCACUGGUCACCAGCAACUGGCAUUUGGGGGAAGUAACUAUGUACUGCAUGAUUCAAUCUUUUGUUUGCUCUCAAUCUCCCAACCUUCCGAUUCAUUGGAUGUCUAUGAGUGCUGGUGCUAUACAAGAGAGGGAGACAAAAGGAUGCAUCCUGCCCUUCUCCAGCAGCUCAGUGCAAAUAAGUGAGAGGUCUGCUCCAUGGGGGUGAGUGGGGACUACCCACCAAUCUCAACCGGCCUUCAUGCCACCACCACAUUCCAGCCUUUUACUUACAAGUGGUGGUUCUUGUCCAUCAUUGUCUCUGGCUCCAGCUAUCGUGGUGCCCCUCUCACUCCCACCAAACAGACAGCUGCCACAUCCGUUUGUUGAUGCCAAUCUUGAAAACCCUAAAUGACAUUGGCCCUGAAUAUUUAAAGGAGCGUCUCCACACCCAUCGUCCAGACCAGAUACUUAGGUCCAGCUCCAAGGGCCUUCUGGAGGUUCCCUCAAGCAUUAAUACACUCAAGUGAGAUUCUGUUUUUCAGUUGCUGUUUUUAAUAUUAGAAGCAGAAUUUCAAGUUACACUAAGUUAUUAUUUAGGCUUAGGUUAUGAACUCAGGAAGAAAGGAAGGUGGGUCAUGUCAAAGUACAAACUGGAUGUGAUAGAGAAGGAUAAUUAUGUAUGAAGAGGGAGGCUGCACUCCAGGAGACUCUACAGAUAGGGUUAUCCCUAAAAGUUGUAAGUCCAGACACUCUCCAGGCAUGUGAUACAAUGAUUCCUUUUCAUCAUUCGAGAUGAAUGAAAAAUAAGGAGCAAACUUUAUCUAAGGAGAUGCAUUCAUUCCCAAGGCAACUCUGUGUGUUUCAUUACUACUGUGGUGGAAAACGGUUAUAAAUAUAUUAAGAAUCAGGCAACAACUUUAGUUUUUGUGGCCAGGUGUUCCUUUGUGUUCAGAUCAGGCCUCAGCACAAGAAUGUAGCAUUUGGGAAUGAAGAUGCAGCCCAGAAGCCCAGCACUAGAAGCCAAGAUAGAGAAGAUCUGCACGGCUACCAUGUAUUUCCCCUUUGUGCUCAGGUAGGUGGGCACAAAGGAGACCCAAACGCUGCAGAAGACCAGCAUGCUGAAGGUGAUCAGCUUGGCUUCAUUGAAGGCCCCAGGCAGCUUCCUGGCCAGGAAAGCCACCGUGAAGCAGAUGGCAGCCAGGAAGCCCAUGUAACCCAGGGCAGCAUAAAACAUGGCAACAGACCCUUCAUUGCAUUGCAGGGUGAUCUCUCCAGCCUGGGAGUGCUUGUCAGAGUCUGGGAAUGGGGGAGAGAUGCCCAGCCAAAUGAUGCAAAUGACCAUUUGGACACUGGAGCAGGAAAGGACAAUGGAGUUGGCCAGACUUUUCCCUAACCAUCUCCUCACCCUGUUCCCUGGCUUUGUGGCCAGGAAGGCCAGCACCACCAUGAUGGUUUUGGACAGCAAAGCGGAUACAGCAACUGAGAAGAUGGUGCUGAAGGCCGUUUGUCGAAGGAGGCAGGUGACUUUCCUGGGACGGCCAAUGAAGAGGAAGGAGGACAAGAAGGACAGCAGGAGGGAGACAAGGAGGAUGUAGGAGAGGUCCCUGUUGUUGGCUUUGACUAUGGGAGUUUCCUUGUAUUUAAUGAAGAUCCCUACAACAAAGCCUGUGGUUAAGGACAGGAAGAGAGCCAAAGAAGUCAGGAGAAUCCCCAAAUAUUGUUUAUAUGAUAGGAAGGUGAUAAUCCUCGGAAUGCAGUGAUCUCGGUCCUUGUUUGGAUAUUGUUCUUCUGGACAUUUGGUGCAACGCUCUGCAUCUGAGGAGGAGAAAAGGAAUGGCUUUGGCUUUGCUUACAGACAUAUUCUAUUACAUGUCGAGAAAUGCACUCAUAUGGGAGAUAUCAGAAAACGAGAAUGUAUUGUAAGAAAGGAAAGCUUCUUCGGUGCAUUUCCUUAUGCAAUAGUUUUCGGGCAGUAACACUACUUCAUUUCCAUAUUUCAUUUCGCUUUUAAUUUGUAUACUGCCUUUGUACAUUGCUAUGCAGAAGGAAGGUUACAAGCUGAAGAAACAACAAAAUAGACAGCAAAGAUCACAGACGUAAUACACACACAAAAAGUCCUCAUAAAAGCAUAACUUUAAAAUAAACAACAUAUCAAAUUAAGCAAAAUUCAAUAAUAUUCAAUAAUAAUAUUCAGGAAUAGUAAACAGUAAAAUCUAAUAUCAGCAAAUGCUAAACAGCUUACACUUAUCAUGUACAAUAAAGAAUUACCAAUCAAUAAUCAAUAAAAACAGCAAGUCACAAUGAACAAAAUACCACAAAACAUGCAAACCAUGUAAAGGAUCAAACUGAGAAACAAGGACACACAACUUAUGAUUUAUUUAUUUUUAAUAUCCUUGAACUCCUCUCUUCCAAGCUGCUACAGCUGUUCUCAAACUCCUUGUCUGGGAUAUCCAAUAACUUCCUGCUGAAAUUCCAUAAUUUUUUAUUGUUCUACAAUGCAAUGGAAUGGAAUGUUCACCUAAUUUUUUUGAUUAUUGUGCAUCAUGCUUUCUCUCUUUUAAAUAAAUAUUUGCUAUUUUCACUAUUUCUCGUUUAUUUUGAAGACAUUUUUAAUUUCCUUUUGUGACGGUGGUUCUGGUUCUCUGAUCCUAGAAGGCUUGGUAUAAAAUAGCCAAAGCUGUGCCUUAUGGGCAGGGCAGGCUGAACCCAAUUUGCAUCCCAGAGAUUGCUUCCUGCAGUCAUUACUUUCAAAUUACUUCCCGGGAGGGGAUUAAAAAUCAAGAAAGGAUCUGCAUCCAAAUAUGUCUUUAGAAUCUUCACAGAAUGUGUCUGACUAAUAUGUUGCCCUAUUCAUAUUCUCCCAACAAAUUCCAUCUCCUGUGGCGUCACCCACCUUCCUGUGUAGAUAUGGUCCCUUCCGCACACGGAACACAAGCAUAGCAGCAAACUGGCUUGUCUUCUUGAACCACCUUGGCAUAUCCUGGGCGACACCUUUUGGUACACCUGGCGUGAGGAACAGUCUAGCCAUAAAGAAAAGAUGCACAUUAAAGGGGAAGUGUGGGCAAUAUUUGUGCAUAUGGAACUCAGAGAGUCUGGAGAGAACCCAGCAGGGUCUCCAGUCCCACAAGAAAGCACCCUUGAUGUCAGGGGUGCCAACUUGAAUAAAAUAUUGUGGGGGCCCAGAUAAGCCACACAACACAUAAUUGAUGCCCAUCAACUUUAUGGGUCCCCAGCCCCCUCAAAUAUUUUAUUGCGGGGGCCAAAGUCCCCACAGCUCCUAGGAGUUGGCUAUAUGCUUGAUGUAGAACGGAAGCCUCCCUGCUGUGUUUGCUUUUUAAAUAAUAACAAUAGCAAUAAUAAUUUAUUUAUACCCCACCCAUCUGGCUGGGUUUCCCCAGCCACUCUGGGCAGCUUCCAACAAUAGAUUAGAAAUACAUUAAAAUAUCAAUCAUUAAGAACUUCCCUAAACAGGGCUGCCUUCAGAUGUCUUAUAAAAGUCAGGUAGUUGUUUAUUUACUUGACAUCUGAUGGGAGGGCGUUCCACGGGGCAGGCACCACUACUGAGAAGGCCCUCUGCCUGGUUCCCUGUAACCUCACUUCUUGCAGGGAGGGAACGGCCAGAAGGCCCUCGGAGCUGGACCUCAGUGUCUGAGCUGAACGAUGGGGCUGGAGACGCUCCUUCAGAUAUAUUGGGCUGAGGCGGUUUAGGGCUUUAAAGGUCAGGACCAACACUUUGAAUUGUGCUCGGAAAUGUACUGAAAAGAGUAUUAAUACAUAGGUCUUUGAACAACUGGACUGAGGCACAGUCUAAUAAUAAUAAAAAAGAGGGUACAUACAGGGGAAAUAGUUGUGUUCCAGGAAUAUUUGUGUCUAUGGAGUUGAUUCAUAGAGUUUGGAAACAACCCAACAAGUUCUCUAGGCACAGGGCAAAAGAUGCUGAAAGAAAACUAAAGAAAAAGGCCAUCCCAGAACAGCAGCAAUAAAACACUCUGAUGAAGAGCAGUAUUUAAACAUAGAGUAUGAUCACAUCUUAUGCAGGGGUUACAUUCCGGGGAAGGAGUAGUAUAUGCCAAAAUGUAUAUGCAGUGGUACCUUGGUUCCUGAAUGGCUUGGCUCCCAAACAUAUCAGCUCCCGAACGCUGCAAACCUGGAAGCUGCCGCAGCCAAUUAGAAGCCAUUCCUUAGUUUUCGAACAGUUUGGGGAGUUGAGCGGACUUCCGGAAUGGAUUAAGUUCCAUAACCAAAAUUCGACUGUGCUCGAAUGAGCCCCUUGGAACGGCUCCUGCACAACCACCCUGACCUUCCGGAACUGGCAUGGCAAGCAGGCCUUACUCCCAAGCUCUCUGGUUUGCUCACUGGGCUCCAGGAUGCUCUUGCGUGGGCUCUGCGAUGUUCUCAUGAGAUCUCACAGGGCCAGGCUGGAUUAACCAUUAAGCAAAAUAAGUACGUGCUUAGGGCAUCCAGGGAAGGCGGGCACCACGGAAUUUUUCUGUUCCUGGAUUUACCAUGGACCAUAUUGUGCAACUCAAUCAGGUUCCACAAAAAAGGCUCCCACAAUAUAUGAAAAAAUUACAUACAUACAACCAUACAUACAUACAUUCAUACUUACAUGUGUGUGUGUAUCUGCACCUGAAGAGCAUUAUACACAUUUAAUAAUUUACUUAAUUAAUUAUAAUGAAAGCAUCAGCCAAACUUCCAAAAGAUUAUACCUGAAUUCCUCUUGGGAAUUUGACAGAUAACUAGAUCUUAAUGGGUAUCAUGUGGAAUAAAGAGGCUCUUACCUGGUUGAACCACUUGGGCCACACAAUAGCUUCUGGGUUAAUGGCAAGCUUGAAGUCAGUGGAUGCCUCUCUCUCUAUACUCCCAAUUUUCACUCUAACACAAGACUCAUUGGGAAGCACCACCCAAUUCUCAAUAUCAAACAUGAUUGGCAGCUCCCCAUUCUCACCCAAAUACAGUCCGCCCAUGGAAGUGUUCAACCACCGGGUUUCUCUUAUGAAAGGGUGAAGCUGGAAUGACAGGGGAAACACCAGCAUUUCAAAGCAUUUUGGACAUCUCAUCCCUUCUCCCUUUGAGCUCCCAAGUCCUGGCAUACCUGGCCUCGUUGGAAUCUACAGAGGACUAAACACCCAAACUUAGAAAGCAUUUUAGAUGCCUCAUCCCUGCUCCCUUUGAACUCCUAAGUCCUGGCAUACCUGGCCUCGUUGGAAAUUACAGAGGACUGAACACCCGAACUUAGAAAGCAUUUCAGAUGCCUCAUCCCUGCUUCCUUGGAACUCAAAACUCCUGUUGUGCCACAACUUCUCCUACUGGCAAGACUAAACAGACACCCUCCAGGUGGAGGGACGUCUGCUUUUAACUGGUUUUGGCUUCUAUUGGUUUUAUUAUAUGGUCUUAUGUUUUUUAUUGCAGUAGACCACCUUGAUAUUGCAUUCGUGUCUAAAUCAAUGAGAAUGAUUAUUGUAGAAUUGGUAGAAAGAACUUUGAUUUCUAGAAAGGGAAAGGAAAUACCUGCCAUGGCUGUAGCCUUUGACAUGCCAACUGGUCUCCUCCACCCGCCAUCAACAUCUGCUUUGAUCUAGAUGAACAAGCUACAUUUAAAGCAUGUGCCAUGAUUUGGACACUGAAGUAUGUUCUGUGGCUGUCUUGAGACAGAACAGUCUGCAGCUCCUCUUCAGAUGGCACCUCCGGAUUCUCCACAUCUCUGCAUCUUGUCCAAUCUCUCACAGCGAGGACGUGCUUUGAGUAUGAACAACUAAAUGCUUUUUCCUGAAACAGAUUAAAAAGAUGGGACUCUGAUUUACAGCAGUCACGUUUGCUCCUUAUUUUGGUCUUCAUUACAAAGGAGAAUGAACCAUGGAUAUACUUCAAGUACUUGGGACCGUAAAGCAAAUUCAUGUCAAUGUCUUGAAAAGCUGUUGUGAGCCAUACUUUUGACCCAAGUUCUUGUUUCCAAAGUACUUCUUCUAGUGUCAUGAGGAUACGCAGUGCUGUAUGACUGUUUACAUAGUAAAGGAAUACAUUGGUCUGUCUCCGUAGGGCAAUUAAUUCGCUUUGUGUGAACCUCCCAGGUUCAGUCCUUUCUGGUAUUGUUACUGAAAAGGCAACACAAAUUCCAUUGCUGGCCAUCAGAGAUGUCAAGGCACUCAAGAACUUUUCUCCAUUCUCAUUCUCUGGAGCAAAGAGGCCGAUCCACGUCCAUCCGAAAUGCUGGAGCAUCUUUACAAUCCCCAAGUACUCAACUUCUUCAUUGGGGACCGUACGGUAGACAAAAGGGACUUUGGUGUUCUCAUCAACAACCCCAGAUACAAAGCCAUAACUAAUCUGGAGUGCGGAAGAAAAGUACAAUGUUUCAUUUUCUGAGCAAAGUACAGGAUUAGCCUGAAAUAUUUAAUACCUAACAAAUAUUUUGCUAGUUUUAUUUAUUUUGCUGACUGGGGCUGAUAGUUUUACUUUGAAACUUUGGGCAGCUGCAAAACUAGCAAAAUCUCUGUGUUGAAGAAUCAUAGAAUUGUAGAGUUGGAAGUGACCCUGAGGUUCAUCUUGUCCUGCAACCUUGACGUUGGCAGAACCACACUCUAACCAACUGAGCUAUCUAGCUUAACAUAGCUCAGGAUUUUCUCCCUCUUUGAUGCCUCUUUUUGACUCUGCUGACGAUAAUGAGAAUUUAUUUUGCUGUUGAACCUCUUUUGUGUGCCUCCCUUCAUACCUGUGGGAUUUUGUACAUGCUUGACAUGGUUGAAAUCACUUUGGAGAUGAUGGAAUUGGCUCCUUCAAGAACAGCCAAGAUAUUACUCCAUUUUCCACAGCGAUAGUUUGGAAUAUUGCUUUCCCCACCUGCAAGCAGGUCUAGCAUGGCAUCAGAAGUGAUCCUUGCAUUGUAAUAGUUCUCAUAGAGGCUGUAGCCCAGAGUGAUGUUGGGUAAGAGCCUGGGAUCCCGGUUGAUCUCUUGGAUGGUGAACAAGAACGACAAGAUAUGCCAGUAGAACCUAAAUGACAAUCUGUAAGAAAUCAAUCAAAUAAAAUGUGUCAAACCAUUCACCACUUGUUGAAAAUAAAUAGUAUUUGAUUCCCUAAAUCAUGGUCUGCAUUAGGGCUGCCAUACAGGCAUAGCAGGAAGACAGCAGUUGGAAACAGUGUGUGGGUGGAAAUCACUGGAAUUUCCUUUAAAAUAACUCAGAAACUUUGCCAAUAAAUCUUUUUGGUCUGGAUUUUCACUUGUUGCAACAUGGGGACUCUAGUCUGUAUGUUUGUUUGAAGGGUGAGAAGAGACAUAUCCUUCUUACAAGAUGAAAAUCCAUUUGCCACUUAAGAAUUAAAAUAUAAGGAUUUCUCAAGAGGAGAAGCACACAUCUUCAAAGAAGGAAAAUGAAGAAAACAUUUUCCCCCCCCGUAUGUGUGAGAAAUAUGGGGACAUGGCUGCUAAGGCUAGUAUUGGCUGCUUCAAAGGAGUUGCAUAAAGAGCCAACUGCAAUGGAGAGCUAAGUCUGUUUAGAAGCUCUAUUUGAUUAUUAUGGCUUAUUUUCAAUAGGCAUGAUUAGGAUUGGGCUGUUAUUUAAGAAAGGUCAGUUUCAACCAGUCUUUCAGCAAAACAAACAAUCAGAAGGAUAUAUUUUCUUCAGUCUACUUAAACUAACAUUUCAUCCAGGAGGAUAGUUUCCUUGUCAUCCAUAUUUCUCCCUGUGGGAACUGUUCAAUCACAUUGCAAUGGCAGUCGCAGACACUAAUUCUGCUGAUAUCUUCUGGGAGGUUAUUUCAGGCAGGGGAAAGGAUGGAAUCAAAUGCCCUCCCAAAUAUCAGCACAAAAGACCUCUGUUUUGUUUGUUUAAAUAUGUUUUGUUUUGGUUUUCAACAGUAACACUAUAAACUUAACAAGAACAGCAAACACAACACUUAGAGUAUAUGUUAUUGGAAGUAACCUUAAGGUACAUACAUAAUAGGCUCACUGGUUAAUUAGUCCUCUCCAUAGAGAUACAUGUGUUAUAGGGGGUUGCAAUAACUGUGCUGGCUUCUUAAUGUGAUCUGUAAAGAACAACCACAUGCUUAAAAAUGCUAUUUCCCAUACACCUGCAUACCAAGAACACAAAGUAGGAUUUUCUCCAAUGUCCCACUCAUCUCAUGAAUGCAGGUGUGAUCAUUCAGUGAAUUAUUUUGAUGCCUGAUCAGGUUCAUUUAUACACUUGUGUUCUUCAGCAAGCAACACAGCAGCACAGAAGGUAAAAAUAGAGCACGUCUGGGAACAUGCAACCCACUAGCUGCUGCGAAACUCAAGUUCCCUUCAGCCCCUGCCAGCAUGGCCAGUGAUCAGGGGUGAUGGGAGCUGCAGUCCUGCAACAUCUAAAAGACCACAGAGUCCUCACCCCUAAAAUGGAGACUAUUUCCCUAGUAACCAGAAGCCAUUGGGGUGCAGUAGAAAAACGUGACGUCCUUCUGCAUAUAAUUACUUACUCUUGUUUAAACCUGCUUAAUGGGGGCUGCGAAAAGAUGUAUGGAAGCUGCAGACCAAACAUAUUUGGACUUAUUAUCCCGCCAAUGAGGAAGUCGCCAGUCUGGAAAUAAUUCUGUGCUUUGAUUCCUUCCCAGAUUGGAUUCAAGGGGCAUUUUGCCUUCAGGUUUCUGCAGGAUUCAAGCAAAAUGAGCAGCAUCAGCUUCUGGGAUCUCAUUCUGACUGACUGCUACACCUCUCUUGUGAGUGUUCCUCUCUCCCCCAUAGCCAGCUACAUCAGAAGAAGCCAAAAAAUUCUUAUUUAUCCAAUAUGGGUGGUGGUCAGCUAUAGCUUCAGAGCCAUUAAACCUCACACAGAUGUAUCCCACCCCCCUUACUCUCAAUCAUGACUCAGUCUGUCUCUGAUACAGGUGAUCUUCUGUGAAUCAACUUCUCCCUCAGGAACAAGGCAGAUUAAAUCAUGAUGAUUUUGAUAAUUAUUAGGGGAAGGAAGUUCAUCUGUGCAACAACCUGAAGUCUCUGUGUGGCUUGAGGGGCAGGAGCAGAGUUGGAGAUAAACAUGGUUGCGAGGAAUCAAAGUCGGUGCCCCAAAGUUUGACAUGGGUCACGUGGUGUGUGAGUUUGGCACGAACUUUGCUGCUGACAAGGACAUUAGAAAAGUCCUGCUGCUGGUUCUGUUCAAAGCUUAAUCUAAUCCAGUAUCCUGUUGCACCCAGUGGCCAACCCACGUUGAUGGCAACAGCUCUUUCGUGGAGUUGACCUCAGCAACUGGCAUACAGAAAUAUGCAGCCUCUGAUCCUGGCAGUCACGUGAUCGCCUUUUAAAAGUGUCUCAGUUAGCAGCUGAAACAAAAUAAAAAAAUUCCUUCCAGUAGGGCUGGACCCUCCAAAGUUGAUGGGUAUUCCCAUCAAAAUGGUUUGUGCGCACUGCAUCAUGUGAUAAUUUAUAUGGGGCAUGGCUUACUUGGGUCCCCACAAUAUUUUAUUCAAGUUGGCACCCCUGACAUCAAGGGUGCUUGCUUGUGGGACUGGAGACCCUGCUCUCCAGGGAGGUUCAGCUGGUACCUUCAUUGUACACCUUCAGGUGCCAAGUGAAAACGUUCCUUUUUAACCAGGCCUUUGGCUCAUUGACAUCCAAUGCCCUUUGAAAUGUCUUCUGGGUGGAGGGAUUAUUGGUUAGUUUAUGUUCUUUUUUAUUAUGUAUUUUAUCUUUUUUUAUAUUGUAUUUUUAUGUUGUGAACCACCCUGACAUCUAUGGCCGAUGGGCGCUAUAGAAAUUUAAUAAAUAAGAUAACAAGAAUAAAAUCAAACUCAGGUGUCUGGGUUAGCUCGUUUCUGACUACCUAAUAUCCAGUCAUGUCCUUCCAUGUACUAAGUUUUCUCCUAGACUUGUACUUUUUUUUUUUUUUAAAUGAUAUUUAUUCCAAGUUUAAAGUUACAAAAUAGAGAAAGAAAAACCAUACAAAAUACAAAGAAAACUUUAACCAUAACAAAGCGAAAAAUAAAAAGAUAAAAGUGAACAAUAAAAUAGAAUAAAAAAGAAGACUUAACAAAAAAUAUAAAAAUGCAUUAAGUUAAAAUAAAACAAAAACAGAUUAAACCUUUACAUAGCCUUUUCCCUUUACUUAUUUCCAUGACCUCCUCUCACCUCCCAAUUUUGUAUUCUAGUUCAGAUCGUAUUUCCAGCAAAUCCUUCUAACCUUAUUUUCAUUUACGUAUUUUAAAUUAAAAUAAUGUAAUUAAACCUCCUCUGUUUCAUCAAUUUCAUCAACUCAUUUUUGCUUAAUCCUUUAUAUCAUAUCUACCAAAACGACCUAAUUUUCUUUUUCCAACCUCUUUCUAACAGUCUUUUAUAUUGCAGUAUUUUUGAAGGUAUAUUUUGAAUUUUUCCAAUCUUCUUCCAUCGACCCUUCUCCCUGGUCUCGAAUUCUGCCGGUCAUCUCAGCCAGUUCCAUGUAGUCCAUCACUUUCAUCUGCCAUUCUUCUCGGGUGGGCAAUUCUUGUGUCUUCCAGUACUUUCCGAUGAGUAUUCUUGCUGCUGUUGUAGCAUACAUAAAAAAAGUUCUAUCCUCCCUUCGCACCAAUUGGCCGACCAUGCCCAGAAGAAAGGCCUCUGGUUUCUUCAGAAAGGUAUAUUUAAAUACCUUUUUCAAUUCAUUAUAUAUCAUUUCCCACAAAGCCUUAAUCCUUGGGCAUGUCCACCAAAGGUGAAAGAAUGUGCCCUCAACCUCUUUACAUUUCCAACAUUUACUAUCUGGCAAAUGAUAGAUUUUUGCUAGCUUGACUGGGGUUAAGUACCACCUGUAAAUCAUUUUCAUUAUAUUUUCUCUUAAGGCAUUACAAGCCGUAAAUUUCAUACCUGUGGUCCAUAACUGUUCCCAGUCAGCAAACAUAAUGUUAUGUCCAAAGUCUUGUGCCCAUUUAAUCAUAACAGAUUUAACCGUUUCAUCCUGUGUAUUCCAUUUCAACAGCAAGUUAUACAUUCUUGAUAAGUUCUUAGUUUUAGGAUCUAACAAUUCUGUUUCCAAUUUUGAUUUUUCCUCCUGGAAGCCAAUCUUCUUAUCUAAAUUAUAAGCCUCCCUUAUUUGAUAAUAAUGAAGCCAGUCUCGAACUUUAGUUUUUAAUUUGUCAAAGCUCUGCAGCUUUAAUCUAUCUCCAUCUUGUUCUAAAAUUUCACAAUAUUUUGGCCAAUUUGUCUCCAUAUUGAUUUUUUUCAGAGCCUUAGCCUCCAUUGGUGACAGCCACCUUGGUGUUUUACUUUCUAGCAAAUCCUUAUAUCUCACCCAGACAUUAAACAAUGCUUUCCUGACAAUAUGGUUCUUAAAGGCCUUAUGUGCUUUAACCUUGUCAUACCAUAGAUAUGCAUGCCAUCCAAAGACAUUGUUAAAACCUUCUAAAUCCAAAAUGUCCGUGUUUUCAAGAAGCAGCCAAUCUUUCAGCCAGCAAAAUGCGGCUGAUUCAUAAUAAAGUUUAAGAUCUGGCAGGGCAAAUCCACCUCUUUCUUUAGCAUCAGUUAAAAUCUUAAAUUUUAUUCUGGGCUUCUUGCCCUGCCAGACAAAUCUCGAAAUAUCUCUCUGCCAUUUCUUGAAACAGUCCAUCUUGUCCAAAAUCUGCAAUGUUUGAAACAAAAACAACAUCCUAGGUAAUACAUUCAUCUUUAUCACAGCAAUUCGGCCCAACAAUGAUAACUUCAAUUUUGACCAUAUUUCCAAAUCCUUUUUCACUUCCAUCCAGCAUUUUUCAUAAUUAUCUUUAAAUAAAUUCACAUUUUUAGCAGUCAUAUGAACCCCGAGAUAUUUCACUUUCUUAACCAAUAUUAAUCCUGUCUCCUUCUGAAACCUCUCUUUCUCAAUCUCUGUAAGAUUUUUCUCUAACACCUUGGUUUUCACCUUAUUCAACUUAAAUCCUGCUACUUGACCAAAUUCUUGAAUUAAUUGCAAUACUCUUUUGGUACUGGAUUCUGGCUCCUGUAAUGUCAAAACCAAAUCAUCAGCAAAGGCUUUCAAUUUAUACUGUUUAGCUCCGAGUUGUAUACCUUUAACCAAUUGGUCUUUCCUGAUCAUGUUAAGCAGAACCUCCAGGACCGAUAUAAAAAGCAAUGGGGAGAUUGGGCAACCCUGUCUUGUUCCUUUCUCAAUCUUAAACUCUUCUGUAACCACGUUGUUUACAAUCCAACUUAGGUUUUUGUUCUGAGUAAAUUGCACCUAUACCGUUUUCAAAACCUUGGCCUACCCCAUUCCCUGUAAAUUUUUCUUCAUAAAACUCCAAGAAAUAUUAUCAAAGGCUUUCUCCGCAUCCACAAAUAUUAAAACUGCUUUAGUGUUAAUAUUAACUUGUAAUUUUUCUAAAAUGUUAAUUAUAUUCCUCGUAUUAUCUGACAAAUGCCUCCCGGGAGAAAGCCCGCUUGGUCCUUAUGAAUUUCUUCCACCAAUACCUUUUUUAAUCUCUUAGCCAUAAUUUCCACAAAAAUUUUGUAAUCCACAUUAAGUAGAGAUAUGGGACGGUAGUUCUUAAGCUGUGUCUUUUCCGCUUCUGUUUUCGGUAUAAGUGUAAUAUAAGCUUCUUUCCACGACUCGGGUGCCUUUCCCCCCCCCCCUAAUAUUUCAUUGCAAACUUCUUUCAAAGGCUGCAUUAACCAUUCUUUCAAAGAUUUAUAGUACUUUGCAGUCAAACCAUCUGGCCCUGGAGAUUUGCCCAGUUUCAUAUCCUGAAUGGCUCCUUCCACCUCUUGGUCAGUUAUUAUACAGUUUAGCAUUGAUUUACUCUCUUGAGAUUUUUUGUAAUCCAUUUGUUCUCAAAAACCGAUCAAUGUCUAUUUCUUUCUGAGUCUCCUGCGUGUAUAACUGUUUAAAGUAUUUCUGAAAACACUUUCUAAUCUCCGCAGGGUUCUUUCCCUCUACUACCAAGUUCGUAAUAGUAUUAAGUUUUUGUCUUUUUUUCAUUUGCCAUGCCAGCAGUUUCCCACACUUAUUCGCUGAUUCAAAUGUCUUUUGUCUCAUCUGUUUAAUCUUCCAUUCUAUUUCCUGAUUUGUCAGUUUCAUAUAUUGUACUUGAUAUAACUUUAUCUCUUUUAAGAUCUCCUGUGAAUUCGGUUUCAUCCUCAGUCUCUUUUCUCCAUCCUUUAUUUUUUCCUAGACUUGUACUUUUGAUCCUCAUCAAAACUCAUGUACCAAAAAUAUUUCUCUUCCAAAAACUAUGUAUAACAACCUUGUAGAUUUCCAUAUGACCUCUUAUCUAUGUCCUUCAUGUAGCUAGUUUAAUGUCCCUUUUCUUCUACUUUUGCCAAGUUCAUUUUGCACUAUAACAAUUCAGUUGACAACGUCUUAAGCAGCUUAGGAAAUUCAGCUAUGGGUAAUAUGCUGUCUAACUCAAGACAAAAGAGCCUGGUACAGGAAUGAUUUCAAGCAACAAUGGGCAACUCCACAAUUGCUAUUAGUGAAGAAUCGGGAAUCAGAAUCUUUAAGAGGUCUACUGUCAAUUAUCUAUCUCCUCCGCAUCACAAGUGAGCUAACUUUAACAACGAUGCUUUUGGGCAUUGGGGGGAAGUAACUAUGUGCUGCAUGAAUAAAUGUUUUGUUUGCUCUCAAUCUCCCAACCUUCAGAUUCAUUGGAUGUCUAUGAGUGCUGGUGCUAUAUAAGAGAGGGAGACAAAAAGGAUGCAUCCCGCCCUUCUCCAGAAGAUCAGUGCAAAUAAGUGAGACGUCUGGUCCAUGGGGGUGAGUGGGGACUACCCCACCAAUCUCAACCUGCCUUCAUGCCACCACCACUCACCUGCCUUCUUACUUACAAGUGGUGGUUCUUCUCCAUCAUUGUCUCUGGCUCCAGCUAUCAUGGUGCCCCACUCACUCCCACCAAACAGACAGCUGCCACAAUCAUUUGUUGAUUCCGACCUUGAAAACCCUAAAUGACAUUGGCCCUGUAUAUCUAAAGGAGCGUCUCCACACCCAUCGUCCAGACCAGAUACUGAGGUCCAGCUCCAAGGGCCUUCUGGAGGUUCCCUCAAGCAUUAAUACACUCAAGUGAGAUUCCGUUUUUCAGUUGCUGAUUUUAAUACUAGAAGCAGAAUUUCAAGUUACACUAAGUUAUUUUUAGGCUUCGGUUAUGAAUUCAGGAAGAAAGGAAGGUGGGUCAUGUCAAAGUACAAACGAUGGAUAUGGUAGAGAACGAUAAUUAUGUUUGAAGAGGAGGCUGCACUCCAGGAGACUCUACAGGUAGGGUUAUCCCUAAAAGUUGUAAGUCCAGACACUCUCAAGGCAUGUGAUACAAUGAUUACCUUUCAUCAUUCAAGAGAAUGAAAAAUGAGGAGCAAACUUUAUCUAAAGAGAUGCAUUCAUUCCCAAGGCAACUCUGUGUGUUUCAUCACUACUGUGGUGGGAAACGGUUAUAAAUAUGUUAAGAAUCAGGCAACAACUUUAGUUUUUGUGGCCAGGUGUUCCUUUGUGUUCAGAUCAGGCCUCAGCACAAGAAUGUAGCAUUUGGGAAUGAAGAUGCAGCCCAGAAGUCCAGCACUAGAAGCCAAGAUAGAGAAGAUCUGCACGGCUACCAUGUAUUUCCCCUUUGUGCUCAGGUAGGUGGGCACAAAGGAGACCCAAACGCUGCAGAAGACCAGCAUGCUGAAAGUGAUCAGCUUGGCUUCAUUGAAGGCCCCAGGCAGCUUCCUGGCCAGGAAAGCCACCGUGAAGCAGAUGGCAGCCAGGAAGCCCAUAUAACCGAGGGCAGCAUAAAACAUGGCAACAGACCCUUCAUUGCAUUGCAGGGUGAUCUCUCCAGCCUGGGAAUGCUUGUCAGAGUCUGGGAAUGGGGGAGAGAUACACAGCCAAAUGAUGCAAAUAACCAUUUGGACACUGGAACAGGAAAGGACAAUGGAGUUGGCCAGACUUUUCCCUAACCAUCUCCUCACCCUGUUCCCUGGCUUUGUGGCCAGGAAGGCCAGCACCACCAUGAUGGUUUUGGACAGCAAAGAGGAUACAGCAACUGAGAAGAUGGUGCUGAAGGCCGUUUGUCGAAGGAGGCAGGUGACUUUCCUGGGACGGCCAAUGAAGAGGAAGGAGGACAAGAAGGACAGCAGGAGGGAGACAAGGAGGAUGAAGGAGAGGUCCCUGUUGUUGGCUUUGACUAUGGGAGUUUCCUUGUAUUUAAUGAAGAUCCCUACAACAAAGCCUGUGGUUAAGGACAGGAAGAGAGCCAAAGAAGUCAGGAGAAUCCCCAAAUAUUGUUUAUAUGAUAAGAAGGAGAUAAUCCUCGGAAUGCAGUGAUCUCGGUCCUUGUUUGGAUAUUGUUCUUCUGGACAUUUGGUGCAACGCUCUGCAUCUGGGGAGGAGAAAAGGAAUGG